rnacentral:rRNA from 1 species
GACGAACGCUGGCGGCGUGCUUAACACAUGCAAGUCGAACGGAAAGGCCCUGCUUUUGUGGGGUGCUCGAGUGGCGAACGGGUGAGUAACACGUGAGUAACCUGCCCUUGACUUUGGGAUAACUUCAGGAAACUGGGGCUAAUACCGGGGAGGAGCUCCUGAUGCAUGUGGGGGGUUGGAAAGUUUCGGCGGUUGGGGAUGGACUCGCGGCUUAUCAGCUUGUUGGUGGGGUAGUGGCUGACCAAGGCUUUGACGGGUAGCCGGCCUGAGAGGGUGACCGGCCACAUUGGGACUGAGAUACGGCCCAGACUCCUACGGGAGGCAGCAGUGGGGAAUAUUGCACAAUGGGCGGAAGCCUGAUGCAGCAACGCCGCGUGCGGGAUGACGGCCUUCGGGUUGUAAACCGCUUUCGCCUGUGACGAAGCGUGAGUGACGGUAAUGGGUAAAGAAGCACCGGCUAACUACGUG